rnacentral:lncRNA from 1 species
CUGAUCCGAGCCUGACUUUCAGUAAACACCAGCGCAGAGAGCAAUAAAGCAUCCGGAACAUUUGUCUCGGGCGCGCGGCCCCCGCCCGCUAAAUGUUUGAUAAGCGGCUGUCGGAGGGGAGAUUUGUCAGCGGUCCGAGCCGAAGGCGGGGAGGGUGGAGAGAAGGCUCGUCUCUGCGCCCGGCGGCCGCCCGGUGGGUGGCUGCGUUACUGUGGCCCGGAGCCCGACAGAGAAAGGAAGGAGGAGACCUGAACAGUACAUCCGGAGAAUCCAGCAAAGCAUACUACGGCAUGAACGUGCAAGUGGACAGAAUUAAAACACAUGCCAGAAACACUAAUGGAUUCUAAACAAGAUGCAGUUUCAUUUCCUGAGCCUAUACGUGAUGUUUUUAACUGUUCUCCAGUUAAUAUGUCUCCAUUUCCAGAAAUCUAACAGGAGAAUCUCUGACUGCUUAACAGAUCACCUAAGCUUGCGAUUUGUGCAAUCCUUUCUAGAGUAAGGGCUCCCCGGCUGCUCCCCGGCCACUGUGUACCCAAAGCAGCGGCUGAAAUAGCCCGGAGUCCAACAGCUCAGCGUCAAGCAGCUCGUGGCAAACGCAGCCGCCGGUCUUGACUGCCAUCGCCCAAGGGGUUCCUCUGGGCUCUCCCGCGAGCCAACAGCCGACCUCUCUCCAGCCUAGUCUGGGAAACUCCAGCCAACCCAGGAUCCCAUUUUGUAGUCCCGGGCAGACCCGAAACCCCUGAAAGAACUCCACUCCAGAAGACGCCAGAACAAGUUCCCACGAAUUUCAUGGGCGCCCUUCACAUGAAAACCUCAGCUCCCCUAUCCUCAAGGAACGGGGAAGGGCGCCGGGGAGGGACUUCGGUGGCCAGCUGUCCCUGGGUCGUGGGCGCUGUUUGCUCUGCGGAGCGCCAGCCCUGCACACAGCGGGUGCGGGAAGCGUUGAUGGGAGGCUGGAGGGCGGGGUGAGCGUAAACUAGGAUCUAGCCGGUUCCAGGCGUGGAGAAUCAAAUGUGGUCCUAGAUCUGUAAGUUGCGAAAAGGGGCUUUUGGGAGCGUCAGAGCUUUCUCACUCCGGUCCCCCGCCGCCUUGAGGCUGGCAGAUUUAUACCCCACAGGUGGAUGGAGACCUAAACAAAACAGUCCCGGCCGCUGCCUGCCGCUCGCCCCCCACGUCCCCCGGGCCCACCGCAAACUUCAACAAAAUAAACAACUCACCACAGGCAUUCCCUUGUCUGCAGCGCGACGCUUGCCAGCUGGGAAAAUAAGCCGCAAGCCACGCGGCCGAGGC